rnacentral:rRNA from 1 species
UGUCGUCAGCUCGUUGUCGUGAGAUGUUGGGUUAAGUCCCGCAACGGAGCGCAACCCUUAUUUUUAGUUACCAAUUCGUUGGGUUCUCUAGAAAGACUGCCGGUGACAAACCGGAGGAAGGUGAGGAUGACGUCAAGUCAGCAUGCCCCUUAUGUCCUGGGCUAUACACGUGCUACAAUGGUUAAGACAAAGAGUCGCGAGCUCGUGAGAGUCAGCUAAUCUCAUAAACUUAGCCCAAGUUCAGAUUGUAGGCUGCAACUCGCCUACAUGAAGUUGGAAUCGUUAGUAAUCGCUGGUCAGCCAUACAGCGGUGAAUCCGUUCCCGGGCCUUGUACACACCGCCCGUCACACCAUGGGAGCUGGUCAUACCCGAAACCGUUUGCUUAACCGUUUGGAGAGCGACGUCUAAGGUAGGGCUAGUGACUGGGGUG